AGUUGUGGCACUUCAUCACGUUUUGCCCCAAUCCAAGUCCAAUUCUGAGGCAACCCGACGCACAUGGCACAUGGCGGCAGAGCCGAUUUCUUUGACACGACGGGAUUGCAAUGAGUUGGCGAAGGUAGUCAGAGAGGGUAGCAGCGCUUAUCUGUUGAAAUUUACCGUUUAUUCAGGGAGUAGAUAGGUACAUAGGGUAUAAG
rnacentral:sRNA from 1 species